rnacentral:rRNA from 1 species
CCUACGGGAGGCAGCAGUGAGGAAUAUUGGUCAAUGGACGAGAGUCUGAACCAGCCAAGUAGCGUGAAGGAUGACUGCCCUAUGGGUUGUAAACUUCUUUUAUAUGGGAAUAAAAUGUUCCACGUGUGGGAUUUUGUAUGUACCAUAUGAAUAAGGAUCGGCUAACUCCGUGCCAGCAGCCGCGGUAAUACGGAGGAUCCGAGCGUUAUCCGGAUUUAUUGGGUUUAAAGGGAGCGUAGGUGGAUUGUUAAGUCAGUUGUGAAAGUUUGCGGCUCAACCGUAAAAUUGCAGUUGAAACUGGCAGUCUUGGGUACAGUAGAGGUGGGCGGAAUGCGUGGUGUAGCGGUGAAAUGCUUAGAUAUCACGAAGAACUCCGAUUGCGAAGGCAGUUCACUGGACUGCAACUGACACUGAGGCUCGAAAGUGUGGGUAUCAAACAGGAUUAGAUACCCCGGUAGUC